rnacentral:lncRNA from 1 species
GAACUCACUGAGGCAGCCUGCCAUCUAGCUUUUUCACAGCAAAAUAGGCUUGCAGACUGCAGAUGAGAGACUCGGGAGCAGAGACAAUUUUAACUUAGCCAUCCCUAAUUUAUCUCAAGCUUUUUCAAUUCAUCUUCACUGCUCUGUGCACAUGGAACACCAGAUUGUCAACCCCUGGGAACUGAAUGCAACCAGGGAUCUAGAGAGCUGUCACAUCCUGAGAAAUAUUUAAAUUGUGCUGAUUUUCUUCUGGAGUGCUGAGCAGAGGGAAUGAAACUCUCCAUCAAGUCAUAGCUUUGUGGGCAAUAGAUCAGAGGAUACUGCCAGUUUUUCUAAUGGAUUAUUGUUAUCGGGCAGGUUCUUCCUGAAGAGUCAUUUUAGUGCAGCAGCUAUAUCAUGGAUUUUUUUGUGUGACCUUGAUAACUGCUGUCAAGCCCUUCAGAUAACUGCCAGAUUUGUCAAGGUUAAAAGCUUAUGAAAGCUCUCAAUGGAACGCCAGAAAGACAAUGGUGCAGUGCUGCCAACAAGGCAGGAAUUUGUAUUGUGGAAUUUCUAAUCAGACAACCAACCUGUUCUUUGAUUUGAUAAGUGUAC